CCAUUAAAAGAAUCCUUAAAGCUCAUCAAAGUGUGAAAGUACAAUAUAUUUCUAAAUAAGAAAUCAUUAAAGGAAAACACAUGCACUCUUAAGGAAAUCCUGAUAAUAUCCUUUAGUUAAAAAUACUAAGUUACUUCCAAGAAAUCUUAGAUUCAAGCACGGUGGAGUAGAGGGAGCUAAGACAUCAUGAAGUCAUCUGAGUUAUCAG
rnacentral:lncRNA from 1 species